CCUAGUAACUAGUCUCCUCUCGAUGUACUGGAAAGGUAGUGCUAUCCUAAUAAAAUAUAUGUAUGCUAUAAACCAGUUACCAACAUGAAAUAAAAUCCUAAAGUUAAUAAAAAUAAAUAAAUUUCUAUGCUUCCAUGAAAAGGUGAAGAAGGCUAAGCUUGUUGUGACAACUAAUCAUUAUAUCACUAUUUACUGUUGGAGUCAAUAGAUAUUUCUCGUCCGGCUCAGCCAUCAUGCGUUCAAUUAAAUCUGCCCUAUAUGCUGACGAGAGCAGGCUGUCUAUAAUGGUUAAGCAGGGAUCCAAUUAAUGCAGACAUAUACAUGGUCGAUGGCCACAGCAGGUCACCCUCAUUCACACUCAGCUUAAACUGUCUCUCAGUCUAGCAGGAAGUCUGGAAAUGACAGCAGAAAAGCAAUUACACUCCUUUUUUAAAAGCUCAGCAAAUACGCUCCUAAAGCUCUAUCCUUUGUUGUGGUGUAGCUCUGAACUUGCAAAUUAUGGCAUUCUCAGGCUGUUGUGAAAUGCAGUCACGUAUUGCUUUUAAGGAAAUUUAUUUCCGUGUGCAAGGAAUCCUGCCAAAUCACUCAGCACAGACCAUGGUGUCAUCUGAGUCUUUUAAUUGCAUCACGCCUCAGAAGCUUUCCGCACACCUUCUACUGCCUGAAUUUAGAUUCUCCCUGUGCGCUAUCUAUGCUGGUGUAGCAUUUGGUGUGCAUUUCUUCAGUACUAUUUACGUUUACCAAUAAAAUAUUAUGUUUAUUCGUAAGAGGUCUAAGUCUGAAUUCCGUGUGGUUAUAGGUUUAAGUCUAAAUUCUGUGUGGUUAUAGGUUUAAGUCUGAAUUCUGUGUGGUUAUAGGUUUAAGUCUGAAUUCUGUGUGGUUAUAGGUUUAAGUCUAAAUUCUGUGUGGUUAAAAUAUUUAACCUGAGGUGUAUGUGGUUAAAAUUUUGAACCUGAAUUGUAUGUGGUUAGAUUUUUGUUUCUGAAUUCUGUGUGGUUAGAGGUUUAAGUCUGAAUUCUGUGUGGUUAUAGGUUUAAGUCUAAAUUCUGUGUGGUUAUGGGUUUAAGUCUAAAUUCUGUGUGGUUAUAGGUUUAAGUCUGAAUUCUGUGUGGUUAUAGGUUUAAGUCUGAAUUCUGUGUGGUUAUAGGUUUAAGUCUAAAUUCUGUGUGGUUAUAGGUUUAAGUCUAAAUUCUGUGUGGUUUUAGGUUUAAGUCUAAAUUCUGUGUGGUUAAAAUAUUUAACCUGAGGUGUAUGUGGUUAAAAUUUUGAACCUGAAUUGUAUGUGGUUAGAUUUUUGUUUCUGAAUUCUGUGUGGUUAGAGGUUUAAGUCUGAAUUCUGUGUGGUUAAUAGUUUAAGUCAGAUUUUUUUGUGUUUAGGGGUUUUAGGACGAAUUCUGUGUGGUUGGGAUUUUAAGUCUACCCUUUUGUGUGUUUAUUGGUUUACUCAUGAAUUUUGUGUGAUAAACUGUUUAAUUCUACAUUCUGUUUGAUUGGUCUCUUGUGUUUUUUCCCUCUCUUUUACAUGGCUAGGUCACGACCCCCAGACUGUACAGGCUGUAAGGCUAACAAGGAACAGGUGUAUAGUUAAAAAUACAGCAGCACAGAGUUGGUUCAGCUGUUAGAGAGUGACAGAAAUGAGAUCUUAGUCUCCUAAAAGCUUUGUAUGAGCCCAUAUCUGUCCACAGCAAUCUGGAUCAGCAGUGGAUGACCACUGACUUUUAGUAGAAUAUUCUGUAAAAGCUUGACAUUGUUUAAGUCAAACUAUGACAGAAAGUACAACUGUUUCUUUCUCUAUUUAGAGUGUGCUUAAUAAAAUAGUACUGAACCAGCUGGUAGUUUAAAGUUAUAACACUAUUUGACAGUUUUAUAUUUCUUAAAAAUCAAAAAGUAUUAUAGAUUUUUUUAGACAGUGGGAUUUCUCAGUUGUUUAAAUCUAGCCUAUCCAUUGGUCCCCCUUCUGUAGACUAAGAGGUUAGACUAUUAGACAGACCUCUUAAUUCGACCUAGGUUAUCUGGACAACUGAGAAAACUUUUUGAAAUACCUUACAGCAGUUCUUGCAGCUGGUAUUUCUUUGGUAUUGGGUUUGUCUUGCAGCUGGGCUCCCCCUAAAGUCAGAAAGGGUAAUUCACACUUUGAAUCAUCACUAUAGGAUACUAUUCACACGUGCAUUUCUGGACAAGCUGAGAGACACCGAAUUUUAAGCAUUGCACAGUAAUUUGAAGUGUUGUCCAGCCCGCCUUACCAAAGAUACAUUAUGCAGUUAGCAGUAUGCAGAGAGUCUGGAGAAAACAAAUAGAGAUGCUGCUCUCCCUAAUGCAAGACAAUAAAGAUUCACUUAAUGAUUCAUGUUCUAAAUAUAUCAUAUAGGCUGCUUUGUAUGCCCUCAUUGACCUGUUUGCUAGUUUUGUUUGUUUAUUUUUUUCAUUUUCAGUUUCCCAGUGAUUGUUUUUUUAUACAUUUUUAAAGCAUUUUCUAUUUUCUCCACAGCUUAAUUUACAGCUCAUUUCGGCUUCAAAUUCAGCAACAGAAAAAGAGUUUUAUAACCAAAAUAGACAAAUAAAAUAUAUCAUUUUUUUUUAAAAGUGUAAACUAAUAUGAGUUCAUGUUUUCUGCGGAAGUAGUCAGGGGAAAAUAAAUACAAAAAAAUAAAUGAAUACCUCAGAACACAGUAUACUCAAUAUUAGAGUGAUUGACAGCCCUGACUGGUAUAGACCAUCUGCAUUACAUAGCUGUAGUUGUUGUUGUUGAUGUUAUGCAACUACCUUGUUAAUCAUUAUGAUCAUGCUUUGUUGUACUGCUGGUUGUGAGUUCAAAGUUCGUUCUUUGCAGUUUUUUGGGGCCUGAUUUUAGGAUAAAAUUGGCAAAGUUAUGUAAUUAGUUGUUAAUAAUCCAGCUAACAUUAGUGUAAUUGGUCAUGCUUGUAGUGCUCCAGUAUUGUUUAAUAGUGCAUGUUGACUCUUUUUCAGCAUGUUUUUUUUUUUUUAUCUGAUUUAGGCUGUAAUCUAAUCUUACUGAAGGCGGUCUGAGACAAAAUUGUUCUGGGAGAAAUUAGUUGACGAGUCUGACUCUGCCUCUGCCUUUGGUCUCUAAAACGCUGGCUCAAAUUUGACAACAUGGUGCACGUUUUUCACUUGUACAACAGGGUUUAUUUACAGGGUUUUGUACAGUCAUUGGCAUCAGUGAAUUGAGAUACAGAUUUGGAUGAUGACAGUUAUCAGUGGUAUGUGCUGAGCUGGUAGAGUCUCAUUAGAAGACCAGCAGGAAGGGGCCCAGUGUGAGCACUAAUAGAAACUUUCAGUCUAUGAAGCAGAAUGCUGACAGUGUGUGUGGUUGAGCACAGCUACACACUCAUUGUGUUGCCUUGUGCCUGGUGGGUGUAAAUUGCUCCUCAGUGAAUAAAAAGUGUAGUGUGGAAUGGAUGAGGUCUCAUUUAUAUUGCAGGUAAGAGUAGGCCUGCUUUAGGGAGAGUUUCUUUCUAGUUCAUUGUAAAAUAAGAGAAGCUGUGAGCCCUGUGAUUAAAAAUGUAUUAAAUGCUACGAUUAUGUAACAAAAGAAUAAAUUACAAUCAAUUAUAAUAGAUUAUAUAUUAUUUACGUAUCGUUUACAUUUACAUAUAAAUUUACAUGGAUUCCUAAGAUGCGUUACAUGCAUUUUUUACUUUUAUUAUUUUUACUUUCCCUAUUAUUAUUAUUAUUAU